UUUGGCGAGAUUCCAAGCACCAUGAUGCUGCUGAGGAGCAAGGUCUAUUUCUGUCUGGCCUUGCUCCCAACACUCCUUAUUCCCCUGAUUGAUGGCUCUCCAACCAACGUGACCCAACUGCUUCGUGACUGUGCCUCUGCCUGCAUUAUUGACCUGUGGAACAAAAUGCCUCAGCCUGGGAAAAGGAGAUGUGGGAGGACCUGACCAAUGAGGAUUUGCAUCCCUAGGAGAGAGUAGGAUGAAAAUAGAGCAGUAUUGGGAGACUGCAAGGACUCAAAUGGGGAUAGAGCUGGCAUGGAAAUGAAGCCCUAAGCAGCAAUGAAAGACUGCAGUGAAGCA